rnacentral:lncRNA from 1 species
GGGAGUGAGGAUGGUGUAGAAUACAGACACCAUCUUGUCCUGCGUUGGGGAGUGAUCAGAUGUGGGCCGUAUGUACAUGAACAAAGCUGCUCCAUAGUACAUUCCCACCACCAUGAGGUGAGAGGAACAGGUCGUGAAAGCUUUGCAACGACCCUCUCCAGAUCCCAUGUGAAUGACAGCCAGAAUAACUCGAGCAUAGGAAGCAAUGAUGAUUGCAACAGGGAAAACAAGCAUUACUAUACAGCAGAUGAAAAUAACCUCUUCAAAUAUUGAUGUGUCAUUGCAUGAGAGGAUUAGUAGGGAAGGGAAUUCACAGAAGAAGUGGGCUAUUUCCCGAGACCCACAAAAGGAGAAGGAAAAUGUGGCUACAGCAUCAAUGAUUCCAUCUGUAGAGCCCAGGAUCCAGGAGAAGGUAGCCAUAAGUCCACAAAUUUUAGGAUUCAUGAGAUUGGUAUAUCUUAGAGGGUGGCAAAUAGCAAUAUAGCGGUCAUAAGCCAUAACAGCCAAAAGAAAACAUUCAGAGCCAGACAGUGAUAUAUAGAAGAAAAUUUGUGUGACACAACCAGCCAUAGAAAUGGACUUGCUGCCAGACAGGUAGUUGAAGGCCAUCUUGGGUACGGUGGUGCAGAUGAGCAUGAGGUCCAUGA